AUGCACGCUGGCGGCGUGCCUAAUACAUGCAAGUCGAGCGAACGGACGAGAAGCUUGCUUCUCUGAUGUUAGCGGCGGACGGGUGAGUAACACGUGGAUAACCUACCUAUAAGACUGGGAUAACUUCGGGAAACCGUAGCUAAUACCGGAUAAUAUUUUGAACCGCAUGGUUCAAAAGUGAAAGACGGUCUUGCUGUCACUUAUAGAUGGAUCCGCGCUGCAUUAGCUAGUUGGUAAGGUAACGGCUUACCGAGGCAACGAUGCAUAGCCGACCUGAGAGGGUGAUCGGCCACACUGGAACUGAGACACGGUCCAGACUCCUACGGGAGGCAGCAGUAGGGAAUCUUCCGCAAUGGGCGAAAGCCUGACGGAGCAACGCCGCGUGAGUGAUGAAGGUCUUCGGAUCGUAAAACUCUGUUAUUAGGGAAGAACAUAUGUGUAAGUAACUGUGCACAUCUUGACGGUACCUAAUCAGAAAGCCACGGCUAACUACGUG
rnacentral:rRNA from 1 species